GAUGAACGCUGGCGGCAUGCCUAAUACAUGCAAGUCGAGCGGACAGACGGGGAGCAUGCGCCGCUGACGUUGGCGGCGGACGGGAGCGUAACACGUGGAUGACAUACCAAUUAGACUGGGAUGAUAACGGGGGACCGGAGCUAAUACCGAAGAAUAUAUGGAACAGAAAGAGUCAGUGGUAGAAGAGGGAUUAGCUGUUGCAAAUAGCUGGAUACGCGCCGCAUUGGAUAGUUGGUAAGGUAACGACUUACCAAGGCAACGAUGCGUCGCCGACCUGAGAGCGUGAUCAGCCACACUGGAUCUGAGACACGGUCCAGACUCCUACGGUAGGCAGCAGUAGGGAAUCUUCCGCAAUGGGCGAAAGCCUGACGGAGCAACACCGCGUGAGUGAUGAAGGUCUUCGGAUCGUAAAGCUCUGUUGUUAGGGAAGAACAAAUGUGUAAUUAUCUAUGCACGUCUUGACGGUACCUAAUGAGUAAGCCACGGCUAACUACGUG
rnacentral:rRNA from 1 species